rnacentral:sRNA from 1 species
AAUACCAAACAGUGAUUGCCGACAUUUGCCGGAGAAUGGGAAUUGGGAUGGCAGAGUUUUUGGAUAAGCAUGUGACCUCUGAACAGGAGUGGGACAAGUACUUUAAAAAUCAUCUCUUACAGUACUGCCACUAUGUUGCUGGGCUGGUAGGAAUUGGCCUUUCCCGUCUCUUCUCAGCCUCAGAGUUUGAAGACCCCUUAGUUGGUGAAGAUACAGAACGUGCCAACUCUAUGGGCCUGUUUCUGCAGAAAACAAACAUCAUUCGUGACUAUCUGGAAGACCAGCAAGGAGGAAGAGAGUUUUGGCCUCAAGAGGUUUGGAGCAGGUAUGUUAAGAAGUUAGGGGAUUUUGCUAAGCCGGAGAAUAUUGACUUGGCUGUGCAGUGCCUGAAUGAACUUAUAACCAAUGCACUGCACCACAUCCCAGAUGUCAUCACCUACCUUUCGAGACUCAGAAACCAGAGUGUGUUUAACUUCUGUGCUAUUCCACAGGUGAUGGCCAUUGCCACUUUGGCUGCCUGUUAUAAUAACCAGCAGGUGUUCAAAGGGGCAGUGAAAAUUCGGAAAGGGC